rnacentral:lncRNA from 1 species
UACAUAGAGAUUAAUACAUGGCCUUUUCCAUAUCAGCCUGGGUAUCAUCCCGAGACCCCCAUAUCAGCCCCAGACGGAGUCGAGGUUCUGAUAUGGGUCGAGGGAUGAUACCCAGGCUGAUAUGGAAAAGGCCAUGUAUUAAACGCUUUAUCAUAUACUUCCGACAAUAGUUUAAUGUAAGGCAAAUAAACUGAUGCAAUAACUAAAACAGUCAAACACUUUAUAAAGACGUCGCGUACGGUGUUGGUGUUAGUUUUGGUAACGUUAUUUUGACGUUAUUUUUCAUGCAUUGUAUAAAUAACGUCGUACUUUUUUUUUAUUUCGUGCAGCUCAAUCAUACAGCAUAAUUUAUAUGAGCGGUUUGCUUGACUUGCUACGUAUAGAACCGAAAUGCAAAAGCGGCACAUAUUUUUUUUAAGUACAGUUAAAUUAAAACGGGAAAAAUAAUAUUCAUUUACAUUAGUAUCCCCUUGGAGCAAAUAUAUUUCUCUUUCUUUUGAUUGAAACAGGAUAUUUAAAAAAAAAAGUUUAAACCACAGUCUUUUUCUGCUGCUUUUUCUUUUAGGUUAAACAUAUUUAUUUAUGGUGGAUUGUGAAACAAGUUAUUACAACUUAUAUUAAUCCGUUUCCAUUUUGAGGGUGCGAGUGCUUCCUUGUAGCCUUAGCCUGCUCUUUUCGAAAUCUAAAAGGGUGACUUUUAUGUGCAAGAGUUAUUUCUCUGAGUCUCUCUUAAUAAAACACGGGUCAGUCAUUUAUCGCCCCCUUCCGACGGACUAUCAUUGUUUCACAAGACCAUCAUACUCGCAAAUGGUGUCAAGGGCUUAUUCUUUUAUCCGCUUUUGAUAAUUUCCGAAUAAAAUGUUUAUUAGUUGAAUCGUUUGUUUCAUCGCCUGUAUUAAAUGUUAAAAGAAUCAACAGUUGAAAGCAAAUUCAAAAUUAAC